rnacentral:rRNA from 1 species
UACGGAGGGGGCUAGCGUUAUUCGGAAUUACUGGGCGUAAAGCGCACGUAGGCGGAUCGGAAAGUCAGAGGUGAAAUCCCAGGGCUCAACCUUGGAACUGCCUUUGAAACUCCCGGUCUUGAGGUCGAGAGAGGUGAGUGGAAUUCCGAGUGUAGAGGUGAAAUUCGUAGAUAUUCGGAGGAACACCAGUGGCGAAGGCGGCUCACUGGCUCGAUACUGACGCUGAGGUGCGAAAGCGUGGGGAGCAAACAGG